rnacentral:rRNA from 1 species
AUUGAACGCUGGCGGCAGGCUUAACACAUGCAAGUCGAGCGGAGACUUCGGUCUUAGCGGCGAACGGGUGAGUAAUACCUAGGAAUCUGCCUAUUAGUGGGGGAUAACGAAUCGAAAGGUUCGCUAAUACCGCAUACGUCCUACGGGAGAAAGGGGGGGGAUCUUCGGACCUCUCGCUAAUAGAUGAGCCUAGGCCGGAUUAGCUAGUUGGUAGGGUAAAGGCCUACCAAGGCGACGAUCUGUAGCUGGUCUGAGAGGAUGGCUAGCCACACUGGAACUGAGACACGGUCCAGACUCCUACGGGAGGCAGCAGUGGGGAAUAUUGGACAAUGGGGGCAACCCUGAUCCAGCCAUGCCGCGUGUGUGAAGAAGGCCUCGGUUGUAAG